AUUACAUUACAUUGAUUCUUGAAGAAUAUAACUAAUAAAAGCCUUGUGAGCUUAGUUCUAUUGUCGAACCCCAUCAGAAUCCAAAAUAUAAGCUUGUUAUACCUCUUUGUUUGUAGACUAGGUAAAUACAAACAAACACUGUAUAGCCUCAACAUGGUUAGAACUAUAAUUUUGUUAUCAUGGAUUGUCAUUCCUUGUAUCUGUAGGUUUGUCCAUGGGUUCGAGAGUGUUUUCAUUUCUAUAAACCCCAUCCUUCAGCCUUCUACCAAAAUAGUGAUGGGGUCAGUUUUGUUGUUUUAAACCGCAGAUUUCCGCUUUAAAUAUUUUCAUUCUAUUUCUUUUACGGUUUUAUUUCAAUCUAAAAAUGGUUCACUGUAUGAUUUUUAAAAUUUAGUUGAAAAUAAGUAUCAAUUCACCGUCACGGAUCAAACACCUCAUCUGACAGGUGUGCUGUCCCUGCCUGGAUGAAGAUCCAUCUUGUUUUUCAUCCAACUUCUCUUUCCUCACGACAAGGGCAAUUUCCCCACUUCGUGUACAUAGUGUGACAGAAUGUGAUUGUAAAUGUGAUUCUCUGAUUUCUCAGACCAUGACGCUUCACUCAUCUCAGCAUGUUCUCUCUUUCGCUCUCUCAUCUGUCUGUCUGGUUUGGGAGGAUGUAUUUGUAACAACAGAUGGUGGCUUUCUUAGUUUUCCAACUCUGAGUUCACUUGGAUGUGGCCUGAAUCAUUCACAUUUGAAGAGUGUCCUCGCUUCAUGUACAAUAUUUAUUCACUAUUUCAUUGUAUAUUGUUUGGAGUAACCCCUCAGUCGAUCUUCAACAGAAUGUGAUACUGGUAUAGAUGACUAGCUGGACUGUGACACUGAGUACUACAGAGACGUUACGUAACUUAGAGCUAGGACGCUAGUGACCCCAGCAAGAAUGGAUGGGACUGUUAUAGAACCCAGUCUGCAGAAAGAAGUUAGAUUAUUUUGUCUUGCCCACGCUCUCACACAUACCGACCCGGCCUCUGUGUUUGAGUAAGGUGGAGUUUGUCUAGCGCUAUGCAUUAUGACUUGGAUCAGGUGAGCACAGGUCUAUUCCCACUUGAUCCUGGUCACAUGACAUCACCUGAUGACUGUACCUACCUGUUCAGGAAGGUGAACACCAGCAAGUUCAUUAGAAUGUCAUUAGUGUAGAGCUAACAGACUUCCCCAAAACACAAGACAGGAUAGCACUGCAGAACAUCCUCAUUCCAAUAGAUUGUAGUUUUAUUCUGUGUGUUUAGUUGCCAGUGAGCUUGUUGUGAAGUAUAAUGAGAAUUUAGACUAAGGCUCUACUCAACAUGUAAACAUUAAAUGACGCUAACAGACUCCACUGAGAGCAGAUGGUGUAUCGAUGUCCAUUUCUCCUAUUGCUUUUUGCAAUCCUCUCUGAUGGGGAAGCUAAAUGUACUGGGAACAGUUGCCUCCCUCACCCCCUCUCUCCUUCUCAGUCUGACUGCAAUGGGUCUUACCCGCAGAAAUACCUGAUGAGAAUCAGAAACACUGGAUCACUGUAAUCAGACAUGCCAUCUACCCAGAGAAGGGUAUCAUGUGAACUCCACAGCCCUCCCUAUCAGACAUGCCAUCUACCCUAUCAGAACAUAGCCCUCCCUAUCCAUGCCAUCUACCCAGAGAAGGGUAUCAUGUGAACUCCACUAGCCCUCCCUAUCAGACAUGCCAUCUACCCAGAGAAGGGUAUCAUGUCAGAACUCCAUCUGAAGCCCUCCCUAUCAGACAUGCCAUCUACCCUAGCCCUCCCUAUCAGACAUGCCAUCUACCCAGAGCAGGGUAUCAUAUGAACUCCACUAGCCCUCCCUAUCAGACAUGCCAUCUACCCAGAGAAGGGUAUCAUGUGAACUCAACUCCCCCUCCUUUUCAUACUGUGAGGUACAGUACUACUCUAUUCUCUGUUAUGGUACAGGGUGUAGAAGAGUUGGGAUUGCUUUCUCCCUCUCAUUCCAAACAGUUCUGGAACAUUCAAGGAAUGAUGAGUCACAUUUUAGAAUGGAAAGAUUUAAAAAAAUAAAAUAAAAAAUUUAAUCUGUUAAUUUAUUAUUGUUUUAACUACACAGGACAUGGGGAUCGUAACCACAACAACUAUUUAUUUUCUAAUCAUGUUUCUGUAUAUUCCUUUUCAUUGCUAAGUCAGUAAACAUUUUAAUGUUAUAACUGAUCCACUGUGUUAAUUCAUGGUUUAAUUUCAUUUUCUAAUCUGUUCUUUCCCUUUUUUUUCAAAAGUGAUUUUGUUAAAUAGCUUAUUUUCUGUACAAACAGCUUCUAGGGGUGUAGAUUAUGACACUUUUCCUGUGCUGUGAAUUCCUCUAUUCCUGGGAGAGACCUGUAUGUUUCAGAGAACACUAACCAGGCUGGGAGAGACCUGUAUGUUUCAGAGAAGACUAACCAGGCUGGGAGAGACCUGUAUGUUUCAGAGAACACUAACCAGGCUCUGGAAUUUGAUUUGUUUGUUCCUUCUUUUUUUUUAAAGAUAAUGAGCAAUGUUUUUUUGCUUGUCAGAUAAAUCAAGGUAUAGAUUUGUGCUGAAAAUUGUCAGUAUUUUCUUAUUGAUAGUAUAUGAUGUACAUUUUUAUCACAUUUUAAUGAAAAAGUAAUAAAGAAAUGUAUGAAUCUAGAUGCACUUGUAUAAUUUUUGAUUCCAUGAGCUGGAAAUAUAUUCAAUGUUUGCCACAUUCGUUUUAUAAGUUUUGUUUAAUGAAUAGAAAAUACAAAAACAUGCAUUUAAAUAACUUUUGACAAAUUUUUCA
ensembl:lncRNA